CACAAAUUUUGGCUCACCCGCUCGAAAGACGGGGUCGCAAAGCCUCCGGUCUAACGCCGCCUGCCCAAGCGGGCGGCCAUGAUAGCGGGGUUGCCGGU
rnacentral:ncRNA from 1 species